AAAAAUUGUGUCUUGAGGUUUAUAUUUCAUUGUUAAUAACACCCAGAAAGUAAAGAUUGAAUAUUUUACCUUCUCUGAGUCUCGUAUGAUGUCAAUUUCAAGUCGAAAAUCCAAAAGCUUUCUAAUAUUGUUUUUUGGUCUUGUUAUAUUUGAUUUAUUAGCAAAGUGAAGAUUGUUUGAGAGAGAGAAAUGUUUUAGCAAAACUGAUCUGGAUUUUUUUUUCUUCAUUAAUAGGUAAUCUUGGAGACGUAAAAA
rnacentral:misc_RNA from 1 species